rnacentral:rRNA from 1 species
UACGGAGGGUGCAAGCGUUGCUCGGAAUUAUUGGGCGUAAAGGGUACGUAGGUGGUCUUAUUUGUCUAGGGUGAAAGCCUUGAGCUUAACUCAAGAAGUGCCCUAGAAACGGUAAGACUAGAGUCCUGGAGAGGGUCGUGGAAUUCCCGGUGUAGCGGUGAAAUGCGUAGAGAUCGGGAGGAACACCAGAGGCGAAAGCGGCGACCUGGACAGGAACUGACACUCAACUACGAAAGCGUGGGGAGCAAACAGG